AUUGAACGCUGGCGGCAUGCCUUACACAUGCAAGUCGAACGGUAACGCGGGGCAACCUGGCGACGAGUGGCGAACGGGUGAGUAAUAUAUCGGAACGUGCCCAGUAGUGGGGGAUAGCCCGGCGAAAGCCGGAUUAAUACCGCAUACGACCUACGGGUGAAAGGCGGGGGAUCGCAAGACCUCGCGCUAUUGGAGCGGCCGAUAUCAGAUUAGGUAGUUGGUGGGGGUAAAGGCCUACCAAGCCUACGAUCUGUAGCUGGUCUGAGAGGACGACCAGCCACACUGGGACUGAGACACGG
rnacentral:rRNA from 1 species